rnacentral:rRNA from 1 species
AGAGUUUGAUCCUGGCUCAGGAUGAACGCUGACAGAAUGCUUAACACAUGCAAGUCUACUUGAAUUUGGGUUUUUAACUUAGAUUUGGGUGGCGGACGGGUGAGUAACGCGUAAAGAACUUGCCUCACAGUUAGGGACAACAUUUAGAAAUGAAUGCUAAUACCUGAUAUUAUGAUUAUAGGGCAUCCUAUAAUUAUGAAAGCUAUAUGCGCUGUGAGAGAGCUUUGCGUCCCAUUAGCUAGUUGGAGAGGUAACGGCUCACCAAGGCGAUGAUGGGUAGCCGGCCUGAGAGGGUGAACGGCCACAAGGGGACUGAGACACGGCCCUUACUCCUACGGGAGGCAGCAGUGGGGAAUAUUGGACAAUGGACCGAGAGUCUGAUCCAGCAAUUCUGUGUGCACGAUGAAGUUUUUCGGAAUGUAAAGUGCUUUCAGUUGGGAAGAAAGAAAUGACGGUACCAACAGAAGAAGUGACGGCUAAAUACGUGCCAGCAGCCGCGGUAAUACGUAUGUCACGAGCGUUAUCCGGAUUUAUUGGGCGUAAAGCGCGUCUAGGUGGUUAUGUAAGUCUGAUGUGAAAAUGCAGGGCUCAACUCUGUAUUGCGUUGGAAACUGUAUAACUAGAGUACUGGAGAGGUAAGCGGAACUACAAGUGUAGAGGUGAAAUUCGUAGAUAUUUGUAGGAAUGCCGAUGGGGAAGCCAGCUUACUGGACAGAUACUGACGCUGAAGCGCGAAAGCGUGGGUAGCAAACAGGAUUAGAUACCCUGGUAGUCCACGCCGUAAACG